CUUCUGCUUACCAAAAG
rnacentral:sRNA from 1 species